rnacentral:rRNA from 1 species
UAGCCGUAAACGAUACUCGCUAGGUGUCGGCCACGGUGCGACCGUUGUCGGUGCCGUAGGGAAGCCGUGAAGCGAGCCACCUGGGGAGUACGGCCGCAAGGCUGAAACUUAAAGGAAUUGGCGGGGGAGCACAACAACGGGUGGAGCUUGCGGUUUAAUUGGAUUCAACGCCGGAAAUCUUACCGGGACCGACAGCAACAUGAAGGCCAAGCUGAAGACUUUGCCGGAUUAGCUGAGAGGUGGUGCAUGGCGUAGUCGUGU